GCGCAUAACUCCCUCUCUCGCGAAUAACCAAACCUUAGGGCAGGAAUGCUCUACAUCUCAAGUAGAGAGACAACCUUACGGCGACGAGAAUGGCGACACUAUGGGAGGUGCGGCUCAGGUAUGAUCUCGCCUUCGUUGGCGGCUUUCCAGGUUUUCUUGUUGCGUCAAGAGACCUUCUUCUUUCCUUCUCUACAUCAAGUUCACGCACCAGCCAUAGCCUUAGAGGGUUUUGCA
rnacentral:lncRNA from 1 species